AGCAGCGAUUAUUGUUUUUAAACUGAUGACGUCUUUUCCUUGUGCAAAUGAGGGCCAUUUAAGAUAUUAUAUGCUUAUUGUUGCGCAACGUAGCCUAAAUGGUCAACUUGUUUAAGUGGUGAUUUCAUUUACAAAAUUGUCCAUUGCUGACAGUUCAGUCAUGCGCAGAUCUUCUGCAACGAUUGAUUUUUCGAGCUUUUUAACCAAAAAAAGGAAAGUUGCGAGUUGCAUUUUCACUUCCUUUCAGCUUGUCAGUUUGAUUCAGCAAAAAUUCUCUUAAUAGAUAGCCUUCGGCAACUAAUAUUGCGCUCAGUUAUAUGUUGUCUUUUACUUAACUGCAAAAAAGCAGCAGCAGCAGUUGUUGUUGUUGUUUGUAUACCUGGUACGGAAAGAAACUGAAAACGCAGUGAAAAAGUUGUGAAAAGUGUCAACUCUCGGAGAGACUAACCGUCGAAUGCUGGAAACACCUUGAAAUAUAUAUAUUUUUUUACUUUUAACGGUGACAAAUAUAUCGCGGGUUAUCUUUUAAGUAGCUGCCCAUAAAACAAAUUAGCCUAAUAGAAUUUAUUUUGCCCGGGAAAACUUCUUAUUUCUGGGUCUUAUUUCCCCGUUCCUUGUCAGCAGAAAAAAGGCGAUUGGUUUUAUUUUUUUUUACAAUUAUAACCAAUUUCGCCUAAAUUUUCCUUUUAACUGGUGCAAAAAUUACAUGGCAUUUUGGGCCCGUAUAUAUAACAGCUAGUUACCCCCUUGAAAUAAUUUAUUUAGCCAAAGAGGGAAGCACUGUUUGUUACUCCCACGCAGGCUCUAAUCCAAAUCUAUCGUAUUAUAAUAACUGCUAAGUGGGUGCUGAUAAAUUUGCUGAAAAAAGUUACCUCUCCUCGGUCUCGAACCAAUCGUAUUAAUCUUCAGCAGUGUGUCGUCAUCAGCGUUUUAAUUUUGUACCGCUUCUCCUGUUUUUCAAGUUCAAAUCGACAACAAUUCGGAGGAGCAGUCUGCGUUUCUUUCCUGCUUCCACCCUCGGAGUCAAUCAAAUACAUCAGUUGUUCGUAACCGGAAACCGGAUUGGCCUAUCAUCCCAUUAAUUAUCUCAUCCGCAUACGUUCACUUUCAGACCCUGCACUGCUCUACUCUUUGUCCGCCAGAUUGCUCUUAUCACUCACACUCAUUGCGCUACUGCAGACAAUUGGCUUCAAAAACAACAAUCGCCCAAAUACUACUCAGCCAAUAACAACAAUUUGAAACGUAGAUACCGUCCCCAAGUCUUCUACGAAGAAACACCAACCUUAGAUCUGGAAAAAAGGCCGAUGAGAUAUUUAGCAGAAUGGCGGAUCAGACGGCAUUCUACAUCUUCAUCGGAUUGUUCGGCAUCUGCGGGCUCAUUCUACUGCUGAAGAAGAUCUACCUCAAGUAUCAAGACAACAAAGCACGACAGGAGGAGCAGUACCAACCCCUAGUAGACUGAAAAUGGGGGGAUCUCGAAAGUUAAGGGGGUGAUAGUUAAUGAUGGCUAUUCAAUGUUGUAUAUUUCUAUACUUUUAAUGUCAAUCAGUCUAAUUUAUAGAUGUAUUUAUCAAGUAGGGCCUUGAUAGGUUAUUGUACACCACCAGCACCAGCUGUCAGUUUACCAAUUAUCAGUCAAAACUUAUUCCUAAUUUGAAAUUUAUUAUCGAAUUUUAAUUUAUUAAAAAAUCCGCAAAUGGCUUCUGCUCUGAGUAAAUCUCCAUAAACCAAUUGUAAACUGAAGCUUCGAUCUUACGAAUAAAUU